GACGAACGCUGGCGGCGUGCCUAAUACAUGCAAGUAGAACGCUGAAGAGAGGAGCUUGCUCUUCUUGGAUGAGUUGCGAACGGGUGAGUAACGCGUAGGUAACCUGCCUUGUAGCGGGGGAUAACUAUUGGAAACGAUAGCUAAUACCGCAUAACAAUGGAUGACACAUGUCAUUUAUUUGAAAGGGGCAAUUGCUCCACUACAAGAUGGACCUGCGCUGUAUUAGCUAGUAGGUGAGGUAAUGGCUCACCUAGGCGACGAUACAUAGCCGACCUGAGAGGGUGAUCGGCCACACUGGGACUGAGACACGGCCCAGACUCCUACGGGAGGCAGCAGUAGGGAAUCUUCGGCAAUGGGGGCAACCCUGACCGAGCAACGCCGCGUGAGUGAAGAAGGGUUUCGGAUCGUAAAGCUCUGUUGUAAGUCAAGAACGGGUGUGAGAGUGGAAAGUUCACACUGUGACGGUAGCUUACCAGAAAGGGACGGCUAACUACGUG
rnacentral:rRNA from 1 species